CCGCGUGUGUGAAGAAGGCCUUUUGGUUGUAAAGCACUUUAAGCAGUGAAGAAGACCUAAUGGUUAAUACCCAUUAGCGAUGACAUUAGCUGCAGAAUAAGCACCGGCUAACUCUGUGCCAGCAGCCGCGGUAAUACAGAGGGUGCAAGCGUUAAUCGGAAUUACUGGGCGUAAAGCGAGCGUAGGUGGCUUGAUAAGUCAGAUGUGAAAUCCCCGGGCUUAACCUGGGAACUGCAUCUGAUACUGUUAAGCUAGAGUAGGUGAGAGGGAAGUAGAAUUUCAGGUGUAGCGGUGAAAUGCGUAGAGAUCUGAAGGAAUACCGAUGGCGAAGGCAGCUUCCUGGCAUCAUACUGACACUGAGGCUCGAAAGCGUGGGUAGCAAACAGGAUUAGAUACCCUGGUAGUCCACGCCGUAAACGAUGUCUACUAGUCGUUGGGUCCCUUGAGGACUUAGUGACGCAGCUAACGCAAUAAGUAGACCGCCUGGGGAGUACGGCCGCAAGGUUAAAACUCAAAUGAAUUGACGGGGGCCCGCACAAGCGGUGGAGCAUGUGGUUUAAUUCGAUGCAACGCGAAGAACCUUACCUGGUCUUGACAUAC
rnacentral:rRNA from 1 species